rnacentral:rRNA from 1 species
AUUGAACGCUGGCGGCAGGCCUAACACAUGCAAGUCGAACGGAGUGGCGGACGGGUGUGUAAUGUCUGGGAACCUGCCCGUUGGAGGGGGAUAACUACUGGAAACGGUAGCUAAUACCGCAUACUAUCAGAUGAGCCUAGGUCGGAUUAGUUAUAGGGUGGGGUAAAGGCCUACAAAGGCGACGAUCCGUAACUGGUCUGAGAGGAUGAUCAGUCAAACUGGAACUGAGACACGGCCCAGACGCCUACGGGAGGCAGCAGUGGGAAAUAUUGGAAAAUGGGCGAAAGCCGGAUCAAGCCAUGCGGCGUGGGUGAAGAAGGUCUUCGGAUGGUAAAGCACUUUAAGUUGGGAGGCGUUACCAACAGAAUAAGCACCGGCUAACUUCGUGCCAGCAGCCGCGGUAAUUC